UUGAACCCAUCGCCCCUACAUUGGAUGCGAAGAGACUUAACCACUGGCCCACCAGGGAAGCCUCCUGGGUUUUAUUAUUAUGUGUCUCAGCAGAGCUUUCAACCUCAUCACCUUCCCCACUCAUGCAGCGGCUUUCUUUUCGCUACCUCUGAGAAGACCCUCGGGAGAGGCUGGCCUGGGGUCUUCCCAGCAAAUGCGCAUCUGGCUCCGGGCUGCUGUGAUGGAUAGAGGCAAUUUCCCCGCGAAAUCGGCUGCAGUAUUGGCAGUUGCACGGGACAUCCAUUACAUUCCUGCGGAGAGAGAGCUUUUCCAGGGAGCCUCAGGAUGGAGCGAUGCCACUCACAAGGCGGGUGGGGAAGCAGAAAUAACCUAAAGGGAAAGGCGUCUAUUUUAAUUUUUUGCAGAGCUGCGUCUCCUGCAUAUGGGUCCAGCCCACUCUUGUGAAGCGGCUCCUUUUGGAAAAUAAGGGGACUUGCAAACGGCUUUGUUAAAGGUAAGGACGCUAAGAGAAACAGAAGCUCGUGCAAACAGAACCCAGUGCCUCUAUGUGCAUAGGCAGACCCCUUGAUCAAGGAGCC
rnacentral:lncRNA from 1 species